CGUAAACGGACGGGAAAGCGGGAUCGUCGACCCGUGCUACUAGAUGGGCCUAUAUCAGAUUAGCUAGUUGGUAAGGUAAUGGCUUACCAAGGCGACGAUCUGUAGCUGGUUUGAGAGAAUGAUCAGCCACACUGGGACUGAGACACGGCCCAG
rnacentral:rRNA from 1 species